UUACUUACCUGGACGGGGUCAAUGGGUGAUCAAGAAGACCUAUAGCCUAGGCUUGUGACCUCCAUUGCACUACGGAGGGGUGCUUGCCUAUGGUCUCCCCAACGAGGGAGAGCCAACGUCAUAAUUUGUGUUAGGAGGGGCCUGCGUUCGCGCGGCCCCUCG